rnacentral:rRNA from 1 species
UACGAAGGGUGCAAGCGUUACUCGGAAUUACUGGGCGUAAAAGCGUGCGUAGGUGGUUCGUUAAGUCUGAUGUGAAAGCCCUGGGCUCAACCUGGGAAUGGCAUUGGAAACUGGCGACCUAGAGUGCGGUGAGAGGGUAGUGGAAGUUCCCGGAUGUGAGCAGUGGAAAUGACUGUAGAGAUCGGGAGGAACAUCCGUGGCGAAGGCGACUACCUGGACCAGCACUGACACUGAGGCACGAAAAGGCGUGGGGGAGCAAACAGGG